rnacentral:lncRNA from 1 species
UUGAUCAUGGGGAAGGCCGCCAGCGGGUCGCUGUGCGCGCCGCCCAGCGGCUCCGGCACGAUGUGGUCCAUGACGCCGAACUUCACCAGCUCGGCCGAGGUGAUGCGCAGGGCCUCAGUGGCCUGAGGGGGAAGAGGUGCGUGUGUGUGGGGCGGGGGGGGGGGGCCGAGUGGGUUUGCAGAGUAUUAGGAGGGUGUUCAGCUCAGCAGGCUUGGCAGUUGCCCCAUAGCUGUGUGCUCGCGCUGGGCUAGCAUGUGGGAGGGCCGGACCCAUGCCAGCAAGCACAACGCCAUUGGGCUGUAAACUGGCCACGCCGUUCCGCUCGACUAGAUAGCCACCGCUGGCCCGUCGCUGCAAGCCGCAGCCGCCAUUAGUGGUACCACACUGCUACUAGAAGCGGCACUUGGCACGAAGCCUGGCUGCUGCCGCUGACGACUAUCAGGGCUUAACUGCUGACUGGUCGCUCGCAUCCGUAUCUGCCUGGCGCGGCUGAUGCAAUGCACCACCUACACAUCGUACCUGGCUCUGUGUCUACGCCUCUGCCACCAGCUGACCCUCAUCCAAACUAGUCGACAGUCCUGCCCUGCCAUACCCCUGUCUAGCAGCCCCUCCGUAUCCCAGCUGGUCCUGCUGCCCCCUGACACCUGCCCCCCCCCCAGCUGCUGUCCCUUCGCACCUCGCCGGCGGCAGAGCGGCUCUUCCACAGGAUGGCGGCGCAGGCCUCGGGCGAGGCCACGUAGUAGACCGCGUUCUCCAUGAUCAGGUUGCGGUUGGCGCAGCCAAUGGCCAGCGCGCCGCCCGAGCCGCCCUCGCCAAUGACCACCGAGAUGAUGGGCACACGCAGGCCGAACAUCUCACGCAGGUUCACGGCAAUGGCCUCGCCCUGCGGCAGUGAUGGGUCGGGCGGUGGUGGCGGUGAUGGGGAGUGGUCAGCGGGGCGUCAGGGGACGGCGGGCAGGCAGGAGAGGAAGCAGCGGAUCCACAUCCAGGUGCACAGGCAGCUGGCGGCCGCAGCCCACGCACACUGGGGUGAUCACCAUCACGCAGCCUGCAUCUGCCCCCCGCCAUUCGGUCUCGCCCUCCUCUACUCCCUGGCCCACCUGCGCCUUCCACUCCGCCCCGCUCUUCGCUAGCCCUACAGCAACCGUACCGUUGCCCGCAAACGCCCGUCCGUCCUCUCUUCUCCAAUCGGUAUUGCUCACCACUACUCCCGCCUCCCACAACGCACACGCACACGCCCAGUCUCGCCCACCUGGCCCAGCUCCUCCGCGGUCUUGCCGGCAUAGGCUCCGGGCGUGUCCACGAAGGUGAUGAUGGGCAGACCAAACUUGUCGGCGUGGCGCAUGAAGCGCAGCGCCUUGCGGUAGCCGUUGGGCUGGGGCAUGCCGAAGUUGCGGCGAAUGUUCU